UUGUAGUAAUUUUAAUUUAUUGCGAGUGGAUAAGCAUUUAAAACAAAAACGCCAGUUUUGUUUGAAUCACAGUUGCAAGAAUUUUUAAAAUUGAUUUA